GCUUUCAGGCUGCUGGCUCUGAGAGCUGCUGGGGUGCUGGGUGGCCUGUGGUUCUUUUCCCAGAUUCACACUCUGGGGUGAGGAGAAAGGUAGUGAGAUGCUCCUAAGACGAAAGUCAUGACUGCUCCCCUUUCCUGAGGGUCUCCAGCCCUGGGCUCCGGGCAUGUCUAGGCAGUGCCCCAAACUGCUGGUGUGUUCUGAGGGGAGAACUGAUUCCACAACAGAAAGAAGUUGCCUCACAAGAAUGAAAGGACAACUUCAAACAUGCUGGCAGAAACGCAUCAAACGUCAGCCAUGAAGCAACCCUCCAGGUCAUGCCAGCAGCCAACCUGUCGCGGGCUGUGGAAACCAAUGACCAAAGAAAGAAGGAAGCACACCUGAGCCAGCUUGCUCUCGAGCUGCAAUAUGCAAAUGAAGGCACAGGAUCAUUCUGUAGAUCCAGAUCCUUCUGAGGUGGCUUCGUUAAUCAAAGAGAAUGAACUUGCCAGAGACAAGAGAACAGUGCUGCAGCCAAGCAAAGAACAGUAGCUGUGCUUCUAAACUAGACUCUCCAAAGAGCCCAUGAACAUUUUCUAGACCAGCAUCCCAUCUCAUUCAGCCCUUCCUCCCUCUCAGAGUUUCCAGAUGUUUUACCAUCCUGAGGUCCAGCAUUAGCCAAUGGUCUUAAAAGGGACGCCUAGCAAAGAAAGGAAUAUGGGAGGUAUGGUCUGGUAGGGUGCCCUUUUCUGGGCAGUGUACUUCUGGAUGGUUGGAUGUUGAGACACUCACCUAUCUCCUAACUAUACUUUAACAUUUCCUGAACAUCUUUUGAAAAUCAUUAUUUUCAUGAUGUACAUUAUGUAAAAUAGUACAACCACUUUGGAAAACAAUUUGGCAUAGUAAAGCUGACCCAGCAAUUCCAUUUUCAGGUAUAUUCUCUAUAGAAUCUCUUGCAAAUACACAUGUAAAACAAUGUACAUAGUAAC
ensembl:lncRNA